AGCCGAGGGGUAUAGUUAGCUUGCUAACUAGAGACCGGCGCACGGGUGCGUAACGCGUAUGCAACUUGCCCUACUGAAAAGGGUAGCCCUUCGAAAGGAGGAUUAAUACUUUAUAAUAGAAAUCAUGGCAUCAUGAAUUUUUGAAAGAUUUAUCGCAGUAGGAUAGGCAUGCGUAAGAUUAGUUAGUUGGUGAGGUAACGGCUCACCAAGACGAUGAUCUUUAGGGGGCCUGAGAGGGUGAACCCCCACACUGGUACUGAGACACGGACCAGACUCCUACGGGAGGCAGCAGUGAGGAAUAUUGGACAAUGGGUGGAAGCCUGAUCCAGCCAUCCCGCGUGUAGGAUGACGGCCUUAUGGGUUGUAAACUACUUUUAUCUGGGGAUAAACCUACUUACGUGUAAGUAGCUGAAGGUACCAGAAGAAUAAGCACCGGCUAACUCCGUGCCAGCAGCCGCGGUAAUACGGAGGGUGCAAGCGUUAUCCGGAUUUAUUGGGUUUAAAGGGUCCGUAGGCGGAUUAAUCAGUCAGUGGUGAAAUCUCAUAGCUUAACUAUGAAACUGCCAUUGAUACUGUUAGUCUUGAGUGAUGUUGAAGUUGCUGGAAUGUGUAGUGUAGCGGUGAAAUGCUUAGAUAUUACGCAGAACACCAAUUGCGAAGGCAGGUGACUAAACAUCAACUGACGCUGAUGGACGAAAGCGUGGGGAGCGAACAGGAUUAGAUACCCUGGUAGUCCACGCCGUAAACGAUGGAUACUUGCUGUUGGAUUUUCGGAUUCAGUGGCUAAGCGAAAGUUAUAAGUAUCC
rnacentral:rRNA from 1 species